UACAGAGGUCUCAAGCGUUGUUCGGAUUCAUUGGGCGUAAAGGGUGCGUAGGUGGCGCUGUAAGUCGGGUGUGAAAUUUCGGAGCUUAACUCCGAAACUGCAUUCGAUACUGCGGUGCUUGAGGACUGGAGAGGAGACUGGAAUUCAUGGUGUAGCAGUGAAAUGCGUAGAGAUCAUGAGGAAGACCAGUGGCGAAGGCGAGUCUCUGGACAGUUCCUGACACUGAGACACGAAGGCCAGGGGAGCAAACGGG
rnacentral:rRNA from 1 species